ensembl:lncRNA
UGGUUGAGAAGGAGGUUCUGCCUGCAGAACCCGAACCUCCUCACGAGCUGCCUCCCAUCGGUUUGUCGUUCGAGCAGCAAAAGGAGCUUUGAAAUUCCAAAUAGACAAUGGGUGCAUAUAGACUCCGACUUGGUCCAAGGUGAAGUGGCUGUUGGCGUACGUCCGGCGCUCCCGUUACAUGGCAUCGCCAUGAUUCUUGGACUGGUGUGCCUGUUUCCCAAUAAGGACUGUCGAGGAGGGGUGGAGUCGCCUUGUUUGUGGCAUAUAUGGGACGCCCUGUUCCUCCAAGCCAGCCCUCUCCCUUUUUGGCUCCUUCACCUGCGUGCCACGCUGCAACUGUUUUGUCUCUUUUCGUUAUUGG